UACGUAGGGUGCGAGCGUUAAUCGGAAUUACUGGGCGUAAAGAGCUCGUAGGCGGUUUGUCGCGUCUGCUGUGAAAACUCGGGGCUUAACUCCGGGCCUGCAGUGGGUACGGGCAGACUAGAGUGCGGUAGGGGAGACUGGAAUUCCUGGUGUAGCGGUGAAAUGCGCAGAUAUCAGGAGGAACACCGGUGGCGAAGGCGGGUCUCUGGGCCGAUACUGACGCUGAGGAGCGAAAGCGUGGGGGAGCGAACAGG
rnacentral:rRNA from 1 species